rnacentral:rRNA from 1 species
ACAUGCAAGUCGAACGCUGAAGCCUGGUGCUUGCACCGGGUGGAUGAGUGGCGAACGGGUGAGUAACACGUGAGUAACCUGCCCCCGAUUUCGGGAUAAGCCCGGGAAACUGGGUCUAAUACCGGAUAUGACCAGAGGACGCAUGUUCUGUGGUGGAAAGUUUUUCGAUCGGGGAUGGGCUCGCGGCCUAUCAGCUUGUUGGUGGGGUAAUGGCCUACCAAGGCGACGACGGGUAGCCGGCCUGAGAGGGCGACCGGCCACACUGGGACUGAGACACGGCCCAGACUCCUACGGGAGGCAGCAGUGGGGAAUAUUGCACAAUGGGGGAAACCCUGAUGCAGCGACGCAGCGUGCGGGAUGACGGCCUUCGGGUUGUAAACCGCUUUCAGCAGGGAAGAAGCGAAAGUGACGGUACCUGCAGAAGAAGUACCGGCUAACUACGUGCCAGCAGCCGCGGUAAUACGUAGGGUACGAGCGUUGUCCGGAAUUAUUGGGCGUAAAGAGCUCGUAGGUGGUUGGUCACGUCUGCUGUGGAAACGCAACGCUUAACGUUGCGCGGGCAGUGGGUACGGGCUGACUAGAGUGCAGUAGGGGAGUCUGGAAUUCCUGGUGUAGCGGUGAAAUGCGCAGAUAUCAGGAGGAACACCGGUGGCGAAGGCGGGACUCUGGGCUGUAACUGACACUGAGGAGCGAAAGCAUGGGGAGCGAACAGGAUUAGAUACCCUGGUAGUCCAUGCCGUAAACGUUGGGCACUAGGUG